rnacentral:ncRNA from 1 species
AAUGUGGGGGUGUUUCUGAAUGGUAAUUUUUGUUGAACAUUGUGUUGUGAUGGGGCUACCAACCCUUAACUGUUUUGGAGUUUAAAUUGGAAGUGCCCUUCUGGUACGAGGCCUGACCGGAGGCUUUUAAUCUGGUACCACGGGUAACCAGGAGCCCACGGAACUUGUUCCGUCCUGGUUAGUUGGUGCGGCCCUUCGGGGAGUAUCGUGGUGGUUGUGGUUUAACACCCAAAUGCGGGUAGAGCAUCGCUCGACGUGGAGUUGCGUCAUACAACCGGGUUCCGUGACCCAGAUUACGGAAGAGGCUUAGAUAGUCCUCGUGCCAAACCAAGGUAGAAGUCACAACCAAACAGUCGUGUCUUUAAUUGGUACCUGCGGAAUUGUUCCAAGGGGGCGGUGAUUGACGCUUGAAUUAAUCCUAUACUAGGAACCGUGAGAUUAAGCCAUCGCGGCAGGUGCUCACGUUAAGCCCACUGACUUUCAUGUCCCUAUCUACUAUCUAGCGAAACCACAGCCAAGGGAACGGGCUGGGAAUAAUUAGCGGGGAAAGAAGACCCUUUUGAGCUUGACUCUAAUCUGGCAGUGUAAGGAGACAUAAGAGGUGUAGAAUAAGUGGGAGAUAUUAGACUUCGGUUUGGUAUCGACAAUGAAAUACCACUACUCUUAUUGUUUCCUUACUUACUUGAUUAAAUGGAACGUGUAUCAUUUCCUAGCCAUUAUACGGAUAUAAUUAUUAUGUCUUAUGGUAUUGGGUUUUGAUGCAAGCUUCUUGAUCAAAGUAUCACGAGUUUGUUAUAUAAUCGCAAACAAAUUCUUUAAUGAGAGAAUGCAUUUAUGUAUUAUUGAUUUAAAAAUUUGGUAUAACUCCAAUUACUCAGGUAUGAUCCAAUUCAAGGACAUUGCCAGGUAGGGAGUUUGACUGGGGCGGUACAUCUCUCAAAUAAUAACGGAGGUGUCCCAAGGCCAGCUCAGUGCGGACAGAAACCACACAUAGAGCAAAAGGGCAAAUGCUGACUUGAUCUCGGUGUUCAGUACACACAGGGACAGCAAAAGCUCGGCCUAUCGAUCCUUUUGGUUUAAAGAGUUUUUAACAAGAGGUGUCAGAAAAGUUACCAUAGGGAUAACUGGCUUGUGGCGACAUACGAUCUUACAGACGUCGCUUUUGAUCCUUCGAUGUCCGCUCUUCCAUCCUUGUGAAGAUAAUU